rnacentral:rRNA from 1 species
UACAGAGGGUGCGAGCGCUGUUCGGAAUUAUUGGGCGUAAAGCGCUUGUAGGCGGCUUGUUAAGUCGCGUGUGAAAUCCCCAGGCUCAACCUGGGAAGUGCGCGCGAAACUGGCGAGCUUGAAUGCCGGAGAGGGUCGCGGAAUUCCCGGUGUAGAGGUGAAAUUCGUAGAUAUCGGGAGGAACACCAGUGGCGAAGGCGGCGACCUGGACGGACAUUGACGCUGAGACGCGAAAGCGUGGGGAGCAAACAGG